CAGGAGAAACCACAUACGUGUAUGAACAGCGAAGCCCACGACGAGAUAACCGAACAACACGGCAUCAUGGCAAAUGUGAAGAGCUGUAUCCUCAUCGGUAUUAUCGGACUGACUAUGAUGUCGCCGGUUCUGGGAGCCGUCAGUUGCGACUCUUGCCCACAGUGCAUCAUCAUCAGACCAAUCUGCGCAACGUUUACAUCACAGUACGCCACUAACAACCGCCGAAGCUUCCUCAGCGAGUGUCACAUGCGCUGUUACAACAAAUGCCAUGGAACACAGUAUUUCAAACUCUACGAGGGAUCGAAGUGCGUUUAGGAAAUGCAGUUGCAAGAGGAAGCGGUUUGCCGGAACUUCCGGGUACCAACAAGACCAAACGCAUGAAGACUGGCUUUUUCCCACCUGCUACAGUGCUAAAUACAAAAUAGUGAACGAUAAUCUAUAUGCUAUAUCAACAAGGAGUUAGUUACAAAUACAGAAAAGUACAAAGCCGAUAAAGAUAACCGUUUGUAACAGGCGCGUAUGACUGAAAUUCACAAGAUAAUUCUGAGGUCAAAUGAAUUCAAGUCGCAGGCGAUCACUAUCGGCUGUUCUUGUAGCUUGUUCCAGUUUUAAUAAAAUUGUAGUUUUGCAUU